rnacentral:rRNA from 1 species
UACGGGGGGGGCAAGCGUUGUUCGGAAUUACUGGGCGUAAAGGGCUCGUAGGCGGCCAACUAAGUCGGAUGUGAAAUCCCCAGGCUCAACUUGGGAACUGCAUCCGAUACUGGAUGGCUUGAAUUCGGGAGAGGGAUGCAGAAUUCCAGGUGUAGCGGUGAAAUGCGUAGAUAUUCGUGAGGAAUACCGGUGGCGAAGGCGGCAUCCUGGACCGACAUUGACGCUGAGGAGCGAAAGCGUGGGGAGCAAACAGG